AAAAACCUAAGAAGUUUUACACGUAGAAAACUAAUGAAAAAGAUCAGAGAGUCUGGGUAAGGGGUAAAUUACGCAAUGGGAAGGUGUUAGACACCCAUCACGUCCUAGGUACUCCUAGGGAGCCCUUUUCACACUUGUUGUAUAAAAAAUGUUUAUUUGUUUUGACAUAUUGUGCAAACAUGAGUGGGAUGACGAGAAAA
rnacentral:lncRNA from 1 species